UUUGUUUUUUGCCUUCUGUAGUGGUCUUGCUUUUCUAGGACUGCAGCAGUGAAGAUGAGCAAAGAAUUGCAGGAGAGUUGACUUGCAGAGAAUUGUUGUGUUGGCUUGAGAUGACUUGCUUCUAACUGAAGGCUGUGCAUAUGGAAAGACCAGGACUCCGUGUUUCCCAGAUGUGUGUCUGUGCUGCUGUAAGGACAUGCUUUUUCAUUGGACUGCAAUGUAAACUUUGACUCCUGCUUUCUGGAAACAGUGUGGCACAACGAAUCAGUAGCACUUCAGGUUGUUUAUACUGUGUUUUCAGAUAUUUAUACUUGAAG